UACGUAGGGUCCGAGCGUUUGUCCGGAAUUACUGGGCGUAAAGAGCUCGUAGGUGGUUUGUCGCGUUGUUCGUGAAAACUCACAGCUUAACUGUGGGCGUGCGGGCGAUACGGGCAGACUAGAGUACUGCAGGGGAGACUGGAAUUCCUGGUGUAGCGGUGGAAUGCGCAGAUAUCAGGAGGAACACCGGUGGCGAAGGCGGGUCUCUGGGCAGUAACUGACGCUGAGGAGCGAAAGCGUGGGGAGCAAACAGG
rnacentral:rRNA from 1 species